GGGAAUUAGGGUUUUGUGUGAGGGAAUUUCUGAAGAUAAUUAGGGAUUGUUGAUCAGUGGAGUAGUUGGGAGUUGUUUGGGUUGAGGAGAGGGUCAAGGAAUUUAGAAUGAAAAGUGCAAGGGAAAGAGAAAUUAUCGGCGUCGAGAGUGGACGAUGGGAACGCAGAAAAUUAAGACUUAACUCAUUUAAGUCAAUCAAUUGAUUUUCCUCUGCAUACUUUAAUUCUACGUACACAUUAAAAGUAAGAUGGCGUAGUGGACAUGUAAGUAUUGUUUUUGGACCAAAACACACUCAGCCACAAGUUUAGUUCUUGGAUUUUCAUUUAUAA